UGAACAGAAGCAGUAGGAUAAAACAGGAUAGUAAGAUUCAGCAGUAUGAAGUGAGUCCUCGAAUCUUGGAAGAUUUGCAAUUGGUGGAUUCUGCGAAAGAAAUCUGAAACAAUGAUGCAUUGGUUGAUGGUUCUUCUAGUUCGAAAAAGCUUCCUGAAACCAACCAGAAGACCCACACAGACACAAAUGUGGAGAAAAUGUCAAGGAAAUCCAGCCGUGAAUCUUAUAAUAUCCUGUUAUCCAAAAAAUGUGUCAGGAUCGUCGGGACUUAAGUGGGCCUAAACGUGGCCUGAUUUGUACGCGUUUGGAACGAGAAAAAACUUUAGCUGUCGCUGAGCUCUUAACAAAGCUGACAUCCAAAGUCACACUGCUUUUUCUUUUAACGCCACCAAAUCCCUGGUCGUGUCCUUUUGGCUGAUGCAGCAUUAGCAUUGAGAAAGGUAGUAUUAUUUCGUAUCACCGUCAACCGAAUUAGUAAUUCAUUCUGGAAUACGUCCUAGGAAGGUGUAGAUUCAAGAUUCCU